rnacentral:lncRNA from 1 species
UCGGUGGCAGAAGCUCACCAGCGAUGCUGAUCUGACAUCCCAGCAACCUGCCUGCAGCUCUCCUCCAGCAGCAGCGGGAGCUUCCUGGGGCUCUGCAGUCUGCACCUGGACUGACUCCCUGUAGCCAGAGUCUCGGUGUUCAUUGCCAGCAGAGAGUCCAGGCAGCUGCAUGAGCACAGAGAGCAAGGACUGCUGUGGGUGUUGGGCUGUCACACCAAGCUGAGCAGCCUGUGUUGCCUUUGCUGUGCCACAGCCCCAUCACACUGAUCAAGACCUAAAACUCUGUCCUCUAAUUUGGGUGAUGUGAGUGAGUUAACA